ensembl:lncRNA
ACCAAGCAGCCUUGAGAUCUUAGGCAGCGUCUCCCUGAGGUCCCUCUCUAUCUCCCCACACAUCCACCAACCACUGGAACACAUCUCCAAAGUUCUGCCGGGCCAGCUCAGCUUCCCCUCAGAAGAAGUGCCGCCACCUGCCAGAUGAAGGAGCCUUUUGAGAGGCAGCUGGCAUCGUGAUUGGACUGUACUUUGGUCUGUUCCAAUCCAGCUUCAGCUCCAGAGACGGCAGGCGGGACGAGUCAACGGAGGCCGGGUGGACGAAGACCAAAGAACUACAGACUCUUCACAACCUACUCAAACUCUUGGUACAGGACCUCACCACACAGGUCAAGAAGGUUUCUGUCUCAUUUCUACUCUGAAGCUCACCUUCUCCU